AUUGAACGCUGGCGGCAGGCUUAACACAUGCAAGUCGAGCGGGGGCUUCGGUCCUAGCGGCGAACGGGUGAGGAAUGCCUGGGAAUCUGCCUGGUAGUGGGGGAUAACGAUUCGAAAGGGUCGCUAAUACCGCAUACGUCCUACGGGAGAAAGCAGGGGGACCUUCGGGCCUUGCGCUAUCAGAUGAGCCCAGGUCGGAUUAGCUAGUAGGUGAGGUAAAGGCUCACCUAGGCGACGAUCCGUAGCUGGUCUGAGAGGAUGAUCAGCCACACUGGAACUGAGACACGGUCCAGACUCCUACGGGAGGCAGCAGUGGGGAAUAUUGGACAAUGGGCGAAAGCCUGAUCCAGCCAUGCCGCGUGUGUGAAGAAGGCCUUCGGGUU
rnacentral:rRNA from 1 species